rnacentral:rRNA from 1 species
GACGAACGCUGGCGGCGUGCUUAACACAUGCAAGUCGAACGGAAAGGCCCUGCUUUUGUGGGGUGCUCGAGUGGCGAACGGGUGAGUAACACGUGAGUAACCUGCCCUUGACUUUGGGAUAACUUCAGGAAACUGGGGCUAAUACCGGAUAGGAGCUCCUGCUGCAUGGUGGGGGUUGGAAAGUUUCGGCGGUUGGGGAUGGACUCGCGGCUUAUCAGCUUGUUGGUGGGGUAGUGGCUUACCAAGGCUUUGACGGGUAGCCGGCCUGAGAGGGUGACCGGCCACAUUGGGACUGAGCUACGGCCCAGACUCCUACGGGAGGCAACGGUGGAGAAUGUUGCACAAUGGGCGGAAGCCUGAUGCAGCAACGCCGCGUGCGGGAUGACGGCCUUCGGGUUGUAAACCGCUUUCGCCUGUGACGAAGCGUGAGUGACGGUAAUGGGUAAAGAAGCACCGGCUAACUACGUG